rnacentral:rRNA from 1 species
UACGUAGGGCGCAAGCGUUAUCCGGAAUUAUUGGGCGUAAAGAGCUCGUAGGCGGUUUGUCGCGUCUGCCGUGAAAGUCCGGGGCUCAACUCCGGAUCUGCGAUGGGUACGGGCAGACUAGAGUGAUGUAGGGGGAGACUGGAAUUCCUGGUGUAGCGGUGAAAUGCGCAGAUAUCAGGAGGAACACCGAUGGCGAAGGCAGGUCUCUGGGCCGAUAUUGACGCUGAGGAGCGAAAAGCGUGGGGAGCGAACAGG